rnacentral:rRNA from 1 species
UACGAAGGGUGCAAACGUUGCUCGGAAUCAUUGGGCGUAAAGCGCACGUAGGCGGCUUCGCAAGUCGGAUGUGAAAUCCCGUGGCUCAACCAUGGACGUGCAUCCGAAACUGCGAGGCUUGAGUAUGGAAGAGGGUCGCGGAAUUCCCGGUGUAGAGGUGAAAUUCGUAGAUAUCGGGAGGAACAUCAGUGGCGAAGGCAGCACUCUGGGACGGUACUGACGCUGAGACGCGAAAGCGUGGGGAGCGAACAGG